UAGGGAAUCUUCGGCAAUGGGGGCAACCCUGACCGAGCAACGCCGCGUGAGUGAAGAAGGUUUUCGGAUCGUAAAGCUCUGUUGUAAGUCAAGAACGGGUGUGAGAGUGGAAAGUUCACACUGUGACGGUAGCUUACCAGAAAGGGACGGCUAACUACGUGCCAGCAGCCGCGGUAAUACGUAGGUCCCCGAGCGUUGUCCGGAUUUAUUGGGCGUAAAGCGAGCGCAGGC
rnacentral:rRNA from 1 species